rnacentral:lncRNA from 1 species
GGUACCUCCAAGAUGCCAGGCUCUGAGGGUGCCAAGCCCUCUCUGUGCAUUGAAUUGUCUCGCCAUCAGAAGACGGGGAGGCAGACACCCUCAUCACCAUGAUUCAGACAGGACGUGAGCCUCAGCAGCCUAAGUCGCUUGCCCGAGGUCUCCAACCUGCACCUGAGCUCGUCCGUGCCCAAGCACAGCGCCUGUGCUCCUUACCCUCUCUGUUCGGCAUCUUCAAGCAUCCUGAUUGUUUCAACUUCUUCUUCCAGAACACUGGGUUGACUCAGCCUCGGCUGAGUUUGUGGUCACUUGUCCCAAGGCGUGACCAGCUUCCUCCUAGGCUUCUCUGAUCUGAGAGAGGCACUGUGACCUUGCCUUCCAUACGCUGUGUCUCUGAGUGUCACCCAAGAGGAGUAGCUUCUCCCAGGCUCUCUCCCCUCUUGUAUCAUUCAGUGCUCACCUGCAAGGUAAGGGAGCCAUGUUUUGGAAGCUCAGAGCCCCCAGCACGUGAACAGAGGACCUGGGAUUCAGACGUCCGGCUCAGCUGCUAUGCCGACAUCAGAGCCAGACAGGCGCCCUCUGCCCACGCUCGUUGACCUUCCCACUGACCACGACCCUCUCAGGUGCACGGGCAGAGCCACGUAUAGCAAAGGAAAGAUGAGGGGAACCAGAGGGAAGCUCACCCCUUGCCCCAGAGUGGCCCUAGGAGGAUGUCACCCACUCACUCCGGGUUCAAGCCGGCGCCUCCAGGACGUGGUGGCAGCCGCAGCCUUUCCUGUAAUUUUCCCGAGCUGGAGACUACGCAGGGAAAGCCAGCAGGCGGAACGACCAUCACUGGUUGCUGAUCCUGGGUUGUCAUCACUGAUGACUGGCUUCUGAGGACAGCUGGGCUGUAGGCUGGGCUGCCUCAAGCUUACUGGAGGGAGAUGGAGUUGGGGUCCUGGCUCCUGCCAUCUCAGACACCCUCUGCGUGGAAUACCCGGACACGUGUGAUCCAAGGAUGACGUGGAGCAUUCACAGGCAGGCCCCACGUCCCGGGGCUCUGUCUUCCCAUUUGAAAAGUAAAGCUUCAUCACCAGCAGAGGUAGUUGGUAAAACGCGGGUUUGUGCAUGUGUGUUUAAUUUGUAGCAAUUAAAGCAAAGGACAGGAUGUCCACAGAGAGCAACACGUAUCGAUCUUAAACACGGGCUGAGUGGGAAAGAAGAGCAAGAAACGGAAGGAGACCUCACAGAGCCAUUUGUGUAAAUUAAAUAUUUGCACACUAAACAAUUCAUGAAUAAAACCAUGC